CCACACCACUUGCUGGGAUUACUUCCUGUGU
rnacentral:piRNA from 1 species